rnacentral:lncRNA from 10 species
CUGCAGGCAAGAUUUAAGUAUGUUUUUCCCUGCUGUGAGCCUGGAAUAAAGUCUUCACAGAUAGCCAAAGCAGGCUCAGUGAAUCACUCUGGCUUUCCGGUGCUCCUCGUUCCUCUGCACGGAGGACACACCCUGAUUUAUAAACUUUGGUAAUGUCAUCAGUGACACCGACUGACAAUUGAUCAGAUCAAUGUGACAUGAGCUCGGCUUCCGUUCCAAGAUGGCAGAAUAGGAACAGCUCUGGUCUGCAGCUCCCAGCGUGAUCGAUGCAGAAGAUGGGUGAUUUCCGCGUUUCCAACUGAGGUACCUGGUUCAUCUCACUGGGACUGGUCAGAAAGUGGGUGCAGCCCACGGAGGAUGAGCGGAAGCAGGGUGGGGCAUUGCCUCACCUGGGAAGCGCAAGGGGUCAGGGGAUUUCCCUUUCCUAGCUAAGGGAAGCCAUGAGAGACUUUACUGGGAAAAUCGGGACACUGCCACCUAAACACCGAGCUUUUCCAAUGGUCUUAGCAUAUGGCACACCAGGAGAUUAUAUCCCACGCCUGGCUCAGCAGGUCCCACACCCAUGGUGCCUUGCUCACUGCUAGUCUGAGAUCAAACUGCUUGACUGCAAGCCUGGCUGGGGAAAGAGCAUCUGCCAUUGCUGAGGUUUGAGUAGGUAAACAAAGCAGCCAGAAAGCUCGAACUGGGUGGAACCCACUGCAGCUCAUGGAGGCCUCCCUGCCUCUGUAGACUCCACCUCUGGGGGCAGGGCAUAGCUGAACAAAAGGCAGCAGAAACUUCUGCAGACUUAAACAUCCCUGUCUGAGAUUCAAAGAGGAGCUGGUACCAUUCCUUCUGAAACUAUUCCAAUCAAUAGAAAAAGAGGGAAUCCUCCCUGACUCAUUUUAUGAGGCCAGCAUCAUCCAGAUACCAAAGCCUGGCGGAGACACAACAAAAAAAGAAUUUUAGACCAAUAUCCCUGAUGAACAUCGAUGCAAAAAUCCUCAAUAAAAUACUGGCAAACUGAAUCCAGCAGCACAUCAAAAAGCUUAUCCACCAUGAUCAAGUGGGCUUCAUCCCUGGGAUGCAAGGCUGGUUCAACAUAUGGAAAUCAAUAAACGUAAUCCAUCACAUAAACAGAACCAAAGACAAAAACCACAUGAUUAUCUCAAUAGAUGCAGAAAAGGCCUUUGACAAAAUUCAACAGCUCUUCAUGCUAAAUACUCUCAGUAAACUAGAUAUUGAUGGAACGUAUCUCAAAAUAAUAAGAGCCAUUUAUGACAAACCCACAGCCAGUAUCAUACUGAAUGGGCAAAAACGGGAAGCAUUCCCUUUGA